UUAAGUUAUUAAGGGCGCACGGUGGAUGCCUUGGCACUAGAAGCCGAAGAAGGACGUUACUAACGACGAUAUGCUUUGGGGAGCUGUAAGUAAGCGUUGAUCCAGAGAUUUCCGAAUGGGGAAACCCAACAUGAGUUAUGUCAUGUUAUCGAUAUGUGAAUACAUAGCAUAUCAGAAGGCAGACCCGGAGAACUGAAACAUCUUAGUACCCGGAGGAAGAGAAAGAAAAAUCGAUUCCCUGAGUAGCGGCGAGCGAAACGGGAAGAGCCCAAACCAACAAGCUUGCUUGUUGGGGUUGUAGGACACUCUAUACGGAGUUACAAAAGUAUAUAUUAGACGAAUCAUCUGGAAAGUUGAAUCAAAGAAGGUAAUAAUCCUGUAGUCGAAAAUAUAUACUCUCUUGAGUGGAUCCUGAGUACGACGGAGCACGUGAAAUUCCGUCGGAAUCUGGGAGGACCAUCUCCUAAGGCUAAAUACUCUCUAGUGACCGAUAGUGAACCAGUACCGUGAGGGAAAGGUGAAAAGUACCCCGGAAGGGGAGUGAAAGAGAACUUGAAACCGUGUGCUUACAAGUAGUCAGAGCCCGUUAAUGGGUGAUGGCGUGCCUUUUGUAGAAUGAACCGGCGAGUUACGAUUUGAUGCAAGGUUAAGCAGUGAAUGUGGAGCCGUAGCGAAAGCGAGUCUGAAUAGGGCGUUGAGUAUUUGGUCGUAGACCCGAAACCAGGUGAUCUACCCUUGGUCAGGUUGAAGUUCAGGUAACACUGAAUGGAGGACCGAACCGACUUACGUUGAAAAGUGAGCGGAUGAACUGAGGGUAGCGGAGAAAUUCCAAUCGAACCUGGAGAUAGCUGGUUCUCUCCGAAAUAGCUUUAGGGCUAGCCUCAAGUGAUGAUUAUUGGAGGUAGAGCACUGUUUGGACGAGGGGCCCUUCUCGGGUUACCGAAUUCAGACAAACUCCGAAUGCCAAUCAAUUUAACUUGGGAGUCAGAACAUGGGUGAUAAGGUCCGUGUUCGAAAGGGAAACAGCCCAGACCACCAGCUAAGGUCCCAAAAUAUAUGUUAAGUGGAAAAGGAUGUGGCGUUGCCCAGACAACUAGGAUGUUGGCUUAGAAGCAGCCAUCAUUUAAAGAGUGCGUAAUAGCUCACUAGUCGAGUGACACUGCGCCGAAAAUGUACCGGGGCUAAACAUAUUACCGAAGCUGUGGAUUGUCCGUAGGACAAUGGUAGGAGAGCGUUCUAAGGGCGUUGAAGCAUGAUCGCAAGGACAUGUGGAGCGCUUAGAAGUGAGAAUGCCGGUGUGAGUAGCGAAAGACGGGUGAGAAUCCCGUCCACCGAUUGACUAAGGUUUCCAGAGGAAGGCUCGUCCGCUCUGGGUUAGUCGGGUCCUAAGCUGAGGCCGACAGGCGUAGGCGAUGGAUAACAGGUUGAUAUUCCUGUACCACCUAGUAUCGUUUUAAUCGAUGGGGGGACGCAGUAGGAUAGGCGAAGCGUGCUAUUGGAUUGCACGUCCAAGCAGUAAGACUGAGUGUUAGGCAAAUCCGGCACUCAUAAGGUCAAGCUGUGAUGGGGAGAGGAAAUUGUUUCCUCGAGUCGUUGAUUUCACACUGCCAAGAAAAGCCUCUAGAUAGAUAACAGGUGCCCGUACCGCAAACCGACACAGGUAGUCAAGAUGAGAAUUCUAAGGUGAGCGAGCGAACUCUCGUUAAGGAACUCGGCAAAAUGACCCCGUAACUUCGGGAGAAGGGGUGCUCUUUAGGGUUAACGCCCAGAAGAGCCGCAGUGAAUAGGCCCAAGCGACUGUUUAUCAAAAACACAGGUCUCUGCUAAACCGUAAGGUGAUGUAUAGGGGCUGACGCCUGCCCGGUGCUGGAAGGUUAAGAGGAGUAGUUAGCUUCUGCGAAGCUACGAAUCGAAGCCCCAGUAAACGGCGGCCGUAACUAUAACGGUCCUAAGGUAGCGAAAUUCCUUGUCGGGUAAGUUCCGACCCGCACGAAAGGCGUAACGAUUUGGGCACUGUCUCAACGAGAGACUCGGUGAAAUCAUAGUACCUGUGAAGAUGCAGGUUACCCGCGACAGGACGGAAAGACCCCGUGGAGCUUUACUGUAGCCUGAUAUUGAAAUUCGGCACAGCUUGUACAGGAUAGGUAGGAGCCUUUGAAACGUGAGCGCUAGCUUACGUGGAGGCAUUGGUGGGAUACUACCCUAGCUGUGUUGGCUUUCUAACCCGCACCACUUAUCGUGGUGGGAGACAGUGUCAGGUGGGCAGUUUGACUGGGGCGGUCGCCUCCUAAAAGGUAACGGAGGCGCUCAAAGGUUCCCUCAGAAUGGUUGGAAAUCAUUCAUAGAGUGUAAAGGCAUAAGGGAGCUUGACUGCGAGACUUACAAGUCGAGCAGGGUCGAAAGACGGACUUAGUGAUCCGGUGGUUCCGCAUGGAAGGGCCAUCGCUCAACGGAUAAAAGCUACCCUGGGGAUAACAGGCUUAUCUCCCCCAAGAGUUCACAUCGACGGGGAGGUUUGGCACCUCGAUGUCGGCUCAUCGCAUCCUGGGGCUGUAGUCGGUCCCAAGGGUUGGGCUGUUCGCCCAUUAAAGCGGUACGCGAGCUGGGUUCAGAACGUCGUGAGACAGUUCGGUCCCUAUCCGUCGUGGGCGUAGGAAAUUUGAGAGGAGCUGUCCUUAGUACGAGAGGACCGGGAUGGACAUACCUCUGGUGUACCAGUUGUCGUGCCAACGGCAUAGCUGGGUAGCUAUGUAUGGACGGGAUAAGUGCUGAAAGCAUCUAAGCAUGAAGCCCCCCUCAAGAUGAGAUUUCCCAACUUCGGUUAUAAGAUCCCUCAAAGAUGAUGAGGUUAAUAGGUUCGAGGUGGAAGCGUGGUGACACGUGGAGCUGACGAAUACUAAUCGAUCGAAGACUUAAUCAA
rnacentral:rRNA from 1 species